rnacentral:rRNA from 1 species
GAUGAACGCUGGCGGCGUGCCUAAUACAUGCAAGUCGAGCGAACGGACGAGAAGCUUGCUUCUCUGAUGUUAGCGGCGGACGGGUAAGUAACACGUGGAUAACCUACCUAUAAGACUGGGAUAACUUCGGGAAACCGGAGCUAAUACCGGAUAAUAUUUUGAACCGCAUGGUUCAAAAGUGAAAGACGGUCUUGCUGUCACUUAUAGAUGGAUCCGCGCUGCAUUAGCUAGUUGGUAAGGUAACGGCUUACCAAGGCAACGAUGCAUAGCCGACCUGAGAGGGUGAUCGGCCACACUGGAACUGAGACACGGUCCAGACUCCUACGGGAGGCAGCAGUAGGGAAUCUUACGCAAUGGGCGAAAGCCUGACGGAGCAACGCCGCGUGAGUGAUGAAGGUCUUCGGAUCGUAAAACUCUGUUAUUAGGGAAGAACAUAUGUGUAAGUAACUGUGCACAUCUUGACGGUACCUAAUCAGAAAGCCACGGCUAACUACGUG